UGGGGAAUAUUGCACAAUGGGCGCAAGCCUGAUGCAGCCAUGCCGCGUGUAUGAAGAAGGCCUUCGGGUUGUAAAGUACUUUCAGCGAGGAGGAAGGCGUUGUGGUUAAUAACCGCAACGAUUGGCGUUACUCGCAGAAGAAGCACCGGCUAACUCCGUGCCAGCAGCCGCGGUAAUACGGAGGGUGCAAGCGUUAAUCGGAAUUACUGGGCGUAAAGCGCACGCAGGCGGUCUGUCAAGUCGGAUGUGAAAUCCCCGGGCUCAACCUGGGAACUGCAUCCGAAACUGGCAGGCUAGAGUCUUGUAGAGGGGGGUAGAAUUCCAGGUGUAGCGGUGAAAUGCGUAGAGAUCUGGAGGAAUACCGGUGGCGAAGGCGGCCCCCUGGACAAAGACUGACGCUCAGGUGCGAAAGCGUGGGGAGCAAACA
rnacentral:rRNA from 1 species